rnacentral:rRNA from 1 species
AGAAUCAACGCUGGCGGCGUGCCUAACACAUGCAAGUCGAACGAGAAAGUGGAGCAAUCCAUGAGUAAAGUGGCGACCGGGUGAGUAACACGUGACUAACCUACCUUCGAGUGGGGGAUAACCUCGGGAAACCGAGGCUAAUACCGCAUAACAUCGCAAGAUCAAAGCAGCAAUGCGCUGGAAGAGGUGGUCGCGGCUGAUUAGCUAGUUGGCGGGGUAAUGGCCCACCAAGGCGAAGAUCGGUA